UACAGAGGGGGCAAGCGUUGUUCGGAAUUACUGGGCGUAAAGGGCGCGUAGGCGGCCUGCUAAGUCGAACGUGAAAUCCCCGGGCUCAACCCGGGAACUGCGUCCGAUACUGGCAGGCUUGAAUUCGGGAGAGGGAUGCGGAAUUCCAGGUGUAGUGGUGAAAUGCGUAGAUAUCGGGAGGAACACCAGUGGCGAAGGCGGCUUCCUGGCCUGUUCUUGACGCUGAGGCGCGAAAGCUAGGGGAGCAAACGGG
rnacentral:rRNA from 1 species